AAACAAACACUUGCCCUUGCAAGAUUUUCUGUUGAGAUAAUCCUUCCAGCCAGCCCUGGAACGAUGUUGCCAAUGCCAUACAGCAAUACUCUGCAGAUUGCAGGAGGUUUUCUCAAGGACAGCGUUGUUCCCUGGAAUGAGCCCAGAGGGUCACAUUUCCAGGUUCUUCCCAGCGCUCCUGAUGGCAGGAAGGUUUCCUUGCUUUUCUGACAGUUCCAGCAGGAGCCAUGUAUCUUGCUUCUCAGGGUGUUAAUGGGUGCCAAACAGGGAGUGCCGCCCUGUUUUACUGCCCUGAGCAGAUGCCAAGCCUGUCCUCACCCUCUUUUAGACCUUAUUCAUGUAGUAUCCACCUUAGAGAACCAUUUGCAUAAGGCUUUGCAUGGCUCUGAGCAGCAGCACUCAGUUUUCCAAAGGAAACAAGAGGGCCACUUGCAUCACUCCCAGUGCGGGGCUGUCUCGGCUGACGCCAGCCCCACUGCCCCGGUGCCUUGGCUGGGACAAGCAUUGCUGCUCUGCACCUGGCCUUGAGCUCUGCCUUCAUAUCUUGGUUACAAAUAGCAGCAUAUUAAUGCUGUCGAGAGGACGGUAUUGUUUGCUCAAGGGUCUGAGUACUGAGGGAACCUGAGCAACAGGAAACCUGUGUUUAUCAGCAUUUUUAGCUUGCUUCAUGCAUCACUAAUCGUGGAAAUGGAACACAUCAAAAAAAGAUGAGAGCUCUGCCAUCAGAUUCACCGGAGCUCUAACACGCUGUGAGAUGUUCCUGUGGGAAGUUCCCAUCCACCUCUUUACCUCGCAGAGAUACAGGAGCUUAUCCACCCACAACAGCCACAAAGACAGAACUGUUUUCAAGAUGUAAAUCGUUUCCUGUGUAUUAGAUCCUACUGGAGAUGUCGUUGGUCCAAAGAUUUGAGACUUUGGGGUGUUCCAUCUCUGUUCCAUCUGCAAUCUGAAUAAAUGACUUUGGUUUUCUGUGCAUUGUUGGUUCUUCCCCUACAUCAAUAGAAAGGAAUGAGUGCUUACAAUAUGCUACAAAUGAGCCAUUUCUAAACAGUAUAUGUUUUGCCAAACAAGUUCUUUCUUCUUCUCCUCUCCACUUUUGUGCUAAUAACAAGUUACACUUUGCUACUUCUUUAAAUUUUCUUUCUCC
ensembl:lncRNA